rnacentral:misc_RNA from 1 species
AAUACCAAAGUAAAGUAAAAAGCACAAUAGAAAGUUUAUUAUAGAAGACCACCAAAACUCAGAUGAGGGAAUGAAGACUAAUAUGUUGUUGUGGUUGUUUAUUCUGUUUUAUCUAAUCUGAUUGCUAACCAUUUACAGAUGGAUGACGAUAUAAAACUUUGGAAAAGGCGAGCACGCAGCUAUCAACAAAGUUGUUGUAAUAGUUUUUGUGAUAGAAUUUAUGAUAGAGUCAAUGAAGAACAACUGGCUUUCAAAGUUGGCUAUGCUCUUUAUAAUGCACCUACUGAGAUAGAUGAAGAUACCAAAACUGCAGUGUAUACAAAGGCUCAAGAGAGUCAUAUAAAGUUAGUCUGUGAUAAGAUAAAAUCAUUACACCCAACAGGAGAAAACUCAUUCUAUAUUUCCUAUUUAUACAUUGUGAUUAGAUUAAGGAACAAAAAAAAUGAUGAAGGUAUUCAAGUAUUAUUUCGUAUUCCUACGUUUGAAGAAGGUAAGCCUAUUUUAGACAAUCAUAAUUUUAUUGAUCCUAAGCCAAGGAGAUAUGAAACUUGGAAUGACUAUCUACGAAAAAACAAACUUCCAAAAUGUGAUAUGUGCUAUCCAGUGAACGGAAUCUAUUCAGCCAUAGAUGGUAGUGUUGAAAUUCAGUUUGGAAAAUCACCAGCCUGUGACACCCGCACAGCAGUGUUCACCAGUCUCGAUGUGUCCAGUACUGUUUUGUUGGUUGGAGCCACUGGAGUCACCCUUGUAUCUCUGGCAGUCCCUGUUGCUGCACCAUUUGUUUGGGGUGCCACAGCUACAGUGCUUGCAUCCGGGACUUACGAUACAGCGAGAAAUUUUUAUCGCCUUCAUGACAUCAAGAAGCAUGGAGAAAGUCUUGGUUUAAAGAAUCCUGAUUCCAGAAGUGCUUGGUUAAGUUUGGCAGGUUCCGUUGUCGGUAUGGCCUCUAUAGGAACUACUGCUUUGGCUAAGGGGGUUGUUGCUACAGAAUCAGCAAUCAGUCGAGCAGGGCUCAUGACGUUAAGAGUGCUCAAUGUCUCUUCUCUGGCUAUCAGUGGUAUUGGAGUAGUCAACGGAAUUAUAACAUUGGUGAUGAAACGCAUUAACGGAACAUUGGAAACAGCCGACAUCCUGCAGUUUACUUCAGCUUGCCUUUUCUUUUUGAACGCGUUGGUUACUUAUAAUCUGGCUUGUAGGUUAAUAGAAGAAUUAGCAUUUUCUGAUUUGACAAAUCUAUUUAACCUUAGAGAAAAUGCAAGUUUUCGAGCUAUAAAAGACAUUAUGGAAUUCAAUGAUCUAACAACCUAUAGUGUUUUGAGACAGCUUGUUGUAGGUAUCAGGUCAUUAUUGAGUCCUGAUAUCGGUAUAGAUGACCUUGAGUCUUUGGCACUCACAGUAAAUUCUCUUUUGAUGAAGAGAAGUACAGGAACAAUAAGUAAGGACAAGUUUUUUGUAGAGAUGAUAAUCAUUAUUCAUAAAAUUUGGAAAAGAUAUGAAAAUGUCAUCUUAUCAGUAAUUGAAGACGUUAAAAACACAUUCAAAGUUUCAUAUUGGCAGGAGAUAAUACCGAGACAAGCAUCAACAAAUUUAGAAAUUCCACGUCAAAUGUGCAAAGAAGUUGAUUGGGUUAUUGAGACUUGUGGUAUCAGUCAUCAUUCAAAUGAACAUAGAAAUCUCAUGACCUUCGCCAGAGCUUUUGCUACAACUUACGGGUUAACUACGGAUCAGGAGUUCAUAAAUCGAUUCAAAUUCUACUGUGACUGUAUUGUAGCUCAAUUCAGGGAGGAAAGGGAAAAUUAUGAAAACGAUCUUGACUCUCAAGUGUCAGAUAAAGAUUUUGUAAGAAGUGAUUUUGAUAGAUCAUAUGGGAUAGAAGAUGACAAAUACAAGUUCUUUUUUAACAAAGCCUUAGAUAAGGUCAAUCAUCCUGACUUUUUGGGUAAUAUUGACGAGCUGUACGAAAACCUUCCUAGGAUAGAAGAAUCUCACACACACGUUCCAUAUUUGCAGACAACAAAAAGUAAGAUUUACACCUUCUGUGGCCCGUUAAAUGAAAAAGAACUAACAAACGAUUAUUACUGGGACAAGGCUAGUGAUUUAUCAGGUAUUAAAACUGAUAGUAAGAACUCUGUAAUGAAUAGGAAAAAUGAUCUUGUUGUUAUUCAACCAAUUAGUAAUUCAGAGGUGGUUGAUUCAGAAACAAACCAACUCCUUGCUAUAGUGAUUCACACAACAUAUCUAAAUUACUGCCACAUGGGCCUAUUGGUAGUGAUACUUAAGUGAUACUGUUCAGUAGUUGAAUCAUUUCACUGUAGUGAUUAACACCACUUAGCGUAUCAACCAUCACCGCUUAUGAAUUAAAGCUAUCAAAAGCAAUGCUUUGUUUAAAGUUUGUUAUUGACGAUGGAUGAUUUAAAUAGGUAUUCAGAGAUUUGUCAUUGUAUUGUGUUACAAAAAUAGAAAAAAAUGAAAUCUAUCUUCUUGUAAAUUUAAAAAAAUCAUAAUACAUAAAGCUAAACUAAAUUUGAGAACAAAACCUUGUUGAACGUCAAAAAACAAAGCAAUACCUGACUGGUACAUCAACAGCCUGAAGUCCAGACUGUUGAAAAUAAACGCAGACAAUGUCAUUGCUCAGAACCAAGAGUAGUACUACACAACACAUGUCAAAUGCCCCAGAGAAGGUAGAAGACUGGAGAAAAAAAUCAGUGUCUCAACUUCCUGUGGUAUUGCGGUAUGUUGUCUGAAACAAUAGUACAGGACGGCGAUGAUCUGGAGUGGGAGGGAUAAGGGCAGACGCCCUUGAUCGUACAUAUUGGUCCUAGUUCAUGGUGUGCGUACAAAUUGUAUUGACAGAGUUUUAUUUGAUUGUUGAAAAAUUUUUAAGUUUAUGUUGUUAAUUCUUUAUUUAUAAUUGGUUACCAAAGUGGCCUAACUUCAACAGAAACACUUGGUGUUUCUCCUGCUAAUUUUAUAUAUGUAGUCGAUAUGUGUAAGUUGCAAAAAAAUUACCCUCAUAUAUUUUACGGCUUCAUCUCAUUUGUGUGUUCAUCUAGUGGAAGAUAAUUCAUACUACUACGCUUUUUUCAUAAUUUUUUUUGUCCUAAAGGGAAGGAAUUCAACCUUCAUUCAUCAGAAUGCCCAAAUCGCUAAUAACAAAGAGGAAGAAUUGUUUCUCAUGUUAUGAAUUGAUUCCAGAACUUUUUGUAGUGAAUGAGACUGGCUUCAGGAGAACCAUUCACAAUAAUUUCCAUAUUAUAAAUUAGUGAGUUCUUUUGGUAGAAAAAUUAACAAAGGAGAAAUUGUAGGGAUAUUUUAAACAACAUUUAAACUUCAGUGAAUGGAAUUUCCAUUUACUGUCAAGAAGUAUUGCAAAACGCCCGCUGUCAAAAUUAAAUUGGCUUCAGGAUUUUCAAAAGUAAUCAUUAUCAGAAUAUAUCACUACCAACAGUUGUGGAAGAUUUGCAGCAUUUAGUAACACUUUCCUCUUUCAUUUUAAUGUGUGUUGUCCCCUAAAAACAAACUGGAAUUGUUUUUUAAACAGAAAAAACAAAUUCUUGGUUAAUACCUGGAAUUUUAAUCUCACAUGAGAGACUUAAGUUUCUAUCCUAGAUUCUAACGAGCUCAAAGGAUGUUUAUUUUUUUUGUAACCAAAGCUUCUACAACCUAAGAUGUCACAAAAUCAAUUGAAAACUCAAAAAAGCUUGUAAAAUGAUAAAGUUUACUACUUCAAAUCAGAUAUCUCAAAAUUGACAGUAAACUUAUUACAAACAUAGAAAGUAGCUUAUGAGUUAAGUUCUUCUCUGAAGUAAGCGGACGAGAAAGAUCUGAAUCUUGUCAACAACAGAUUGAAGCAACAAGUGGGCAGAGCUUGGCGGACUCUAUGAUGCUGUGACUCCAGUCAGAACUGUAGGUUCUCCAUGUUGUGCAACAACUAGUGGCUAAAAAGACAAAUUAUAUAAAUUUCUUAUCGACUUUCAAUGUUUUAUCUAUUUCUCAAAAGUCUUUGAUUGUAGAUCAUCACAGUCCGUUGAAAAAACUCAGAAUGUAUGGUAUAAAAGGUGUGUACAUUUGUGGCUGAAAUCUUACCUCAACAAUAGAACUCACUUAGAAUUAAUCAUUGAAAGUUUCAGAACUGAGAUAUGGAUCAAUAAGCUCCUUGCUAUUUCUGAUUUGUGUCAAUGACCCUGGUUCAUUGCUUUUUCCCGGGCAAUUGGUGCAGUAUGCUGAUGACACGACUUCCCUAUUCAGAUCUUAUGUAAGAGAAUUACUGGAAAUUCAAAUGUUCAGUGAUUUGAACUGUGUACAUUUCAACGAACUAAAUUUGCAAACCAAUGUAAACAAGGCAAAUUAUUUACAAUUAUGUCUUAAGAUCGAGAAACUCUGACUUUGGUACGUCAGUUAUAACUGAUGAGGUCAUUCCUGAGAAGUUUGACCAUGUAAAGUUCCUAAGGAUGUAUCUUUAUUAAGGUUUGACCUGGGAUUUUUAUGUGAGUUCAGGUUGUGCCAAGAUAUCCUAAGGAAUUUAUGCUUCGAGAAGAUAAAAUUUUGUCCAACGCAGGUACCGCUCAUGGCAUGCUAUGGCUUUAUUUUUUCUUAUCUUCUCCUAAGAGGGUGGGAAAGAUGCUCAAAUUCUGAGUUCACAAGAAUCUUCAGAUUGCAAAAGAAGUUGUCUCAAUAAUCUCAAAAUUACACUCCAGACAAUCGUGCAAACCAGGCUUUAUUCUACUACAUUUUUCAAUCUGCUGUAUUAUGUUCAAUAGUAGUCUUAAACGGGCCAUUAACACAUUCUUACAAAACAAGAGGCAAAGAUAGCCGAAUAGAACAGCAUCAAACAAUAGUAUGGUAUAUGAUCGCCUUCCUUCACAGACAGGUUCGCAUUUUGUUAAUAGUCUUCAUGAGUCCAAGCAACCCAAUCACUAAAACACGGAUUCAAGUAUUUUUUUUUGGUAUCAAACUCCUAUUACUCUCUGGGAGAGUUUCUCACACAACUGGGAGAGACUUUUGAGUUGAGCAGAGGUGGUCCAGCCUGGCAUUAGAUAUGUAUGUACGUAAGGAGUGGAUUUAUCGUCUUUUACACAUUGUAUUUAGCAUUAUGUUGUCAACUCAAUAUAGGAAUAUUGUAUUUUAUUUUAUUCUUUUCAGGCCAACAAUGUGUGGAGUAAUCUUUUACUUUUCCACUAGCACUUUUUUCAUCUUGUUUUUAUUUUCUUUAACUUUCACAUUUAGUGUUCUUAUUGUUUUACCCAUAUACUCUAUUACAAGAAUAUAUUAUACUUUAAACAUAGAUUUUAAGCACUGUGUACUACUUUUUUGGUUUGGUUUUAAUGAGGUUUAACCUAAGAGUGAAUCUUGUUUAAUAAGCGGUUCUAACAUUGUAUUUUCUGCUUAUUGUUCUAGUUUUCUCUGAUUAUACUGGCACAUAAGGGAUUGAUAUGUAUGAGAACUUAUAUAUAUAUACUUAUUAUUAUACUUAUAUAUUUUGGACUUAUUUAUAACAGACUGAGUGUACCCAUUUUUUAUAAGAUCUGAUGCCACAUAUUUUCUUCUUUUAACCCAUCUUUAUCUGAGCACACGCUCUUUGAAUUGUUAAACAAAGAGUAAGCAACUCCUUCUUUGAUAGAUUUUUGACGGUUCAAUUCAAAAUUUAGAUAUGGACCCAUGUGUUUUCUUAUGAUAAAUCUUUGUCUUAAAAACAUCCCUAUCCCUCAUAUCUUGAAAGGAAGUUUGUUUUGGACCUGCUUGAUUAGGUGAAUGGAGAGAGAAAUGCGUUAGACAAAAAGUCAUUUAGUUGAGAGUAGGCAGAAAAUGCAAUGUUAGAACUGCCUUAAAACACAAAACGCUCUUAGACAAAGUCUUGUAAAAACUAUAUUUACAGUAUAACAUAUAUUGUAAUAGAAAAUACAUAGGUGGGACAAAAAGACCCCUAAAUUUGAAACUUCAAGGAUAUAAAGACAAAACAGUAAAAGAGCCAGUGGAAAAGUCUAAAACUGCUCAAAAUUGCUGGUCUGAAAAUCGUUUAAAGUGGGAUCAACAUAAUGCAUUCUGAGAACAAUUUUGUCAAAUAUAAAUUUAUUGAGGCUUCAUACAUUGCACUACCAUAUCAGUCGUAAAAUCAACAUUCAGUUAAAGUUAGACCACUUACCAAUAUUGAAAAAAAGAAUUAACUAUAAAACCUACAAAAUUUCAUCAAUCUUCACUUGGUACCACGAAAGUGCUGACAUUGAUUUUCUCCCCAGUCUUCUAACUUCCUUGGGGGUCUUUCAUGUUGUGUUGGCAAGUUCUUUGCCACAAAUUUCAAAUAUUUGUUGCACCCUUUUGUAUUAAGAUUUUUGACACCCGAUAAAGAGGAUGGAUUUCAGACCUCGAAUCAUUCUACUUUUGCAACAUACAACUAUGGCAAAUGGCUGAAAUCUAUUCUCAGAAGCAGUAAAUCACCAAGCUUUUUGCUGUAAUGGUUUACAAUACAAAGCUAAACUUCUGUCAUAUUGCCAGUGAUACUGAAGUAGGUUUUGGACCAACAAACCAAUUUGUUUCCACAGUAUACCACAUAUUUAAAAUGUUUUACAUGUAGUUACUAGUGGUGGGCUUUCCAGUUACCUGUUGUAAAUGGUUCCAGUUAAAUCCGAGGAGCUCAGUGGAACUUUGCACAGUUUCCAAAACAGUAUUAUAAAUUUCUGGAAUCGUACCUGUUUCCUGUUAAUGAACAGCAGAAUCAUUAGCACAGUGAAUAUUUUAUGUUUAGUGAUUUUAACUAGUGUUUUGUACCUUGAAUAACUAUACAACUUAACUGUUAAUUUUAGUUCAUACAAUGUGUUUGGUAUUAUUAGAAAGAAAAUCAAUUUAAACGCACAAGUCUUAAAUAACUUAUUAACCAUAAAUUAAUAUAUUUUAAAUUAAACCCUCUUAAGUGCUACAAUC